rnacentral:rRNA from 1 species
UACGGAGGGUGCAAGCGUUAUCCGGAUUUAUUGGGUUUAAAGGGUCCGUAGGCGGACUGAUCAGUCAGUGGUGAAAUCCUAUCGCUUAACGAUAGAACUGCCAUUGAUACUGUUAGUCUUGAAUUAGUUUGAAGUGGCUGGAAUGUGUAGUGUAGCGGUGAAAUGCUUAGAUAUUACGCAGAACACCAAUUGCGAAGGCAGGUCACUAAGUCUAUAUUGACGCUGAUGGACGAAAGCGUGGGGAGCGAACAGGAUUAGAUACCCCCGUAGUCC